AAAAUAAAAUUUGAUUUUAAAAAAAUUUAAUUUUUAAACUAGGAUUAGAUACCCUAUUAUUUUAAGCUUAAUGUUGGUAGUAAGUAAAAAUUAUGAAAUCAUAAAAUUUUGGCGGUAUUUUAAGCUUGUUAGAGGAAUUUGCUCUAUAAUGGAUACAACGCCUAUAUCUUACUUAAUUUUGUAAUUAAAGUCAGUUUGUAUACCACUAUAUUUAAUUAUAUUGAAUAAUUAUAUUUAAGAUUUUUAUACAAAUAUAUAUUAAGUCAAGGUGCAACAAAUAAUUA
rnacentral:rRNA from 1 species